GGAUAUAUAGUUUAGUGGCAGAGCACUUGCCUGGCAUGCACAAGGCCCUAGGUUCGAUCCCUGGUACUACCA
rnacentral:tRNA from 1 species